CCGGCCUCCUCUCCAGCCUGGGCACGGGCCAGGCCACAGGCCCUGGCCCAGGUGCCAGCUCCCUUCCUAAGCCCCUCCUAGCCCAGCAGCUGGCUUCCUGUUUCCUGUUGCCGGCAAUAUCUUGGCUUUCACCAAUGCAUGCUGCCAGCACAGCAGGCCACUGCCUACUCUGAAGCAGGCUCUUGUCCCAGCCCUUGGACCACUCCAGCUUCCCCAAUUACACCUGGGUUCCUGGGAUUUGUGUCAAAUUCCUCCCUCAGUUAUAUUUUCUUUUAUUCUUUAUUUUUGAGACAGGGUCUCACCGGGCCAAGGCUAGCCUUGAAUUGGAUGCUGGCUAAGGAUGACCUUGAACUCCACAUCUCAGGUCCUGGCAUUAUAGGCACGUUUAUGUGGUGCUGAGAAUCAAAACCAGGGCCUGGUACAUGCAUAGCAACCACGAUACCAACUGAGCGACACACCCAGAUCUCAGCUUUCUCUGUACACUUUUUUGGGAACAUAGCGCAUGUUUUCCUUUCUUUUUUUUUUUUUUGGUUCUUUUUUUUUUCCGGAGCUGGGGACCGAACCCAGGGCCUUGCACUUCCUAGAUUCUUCAGGUUUUUACCUACUAAGUCAUCUCACUAGCCUGAGGUCUGUGUUCCAUUCCUGCCUGGUACUCUUGGAAGUCAGAAAGAGCAUCCAAUCCCCUGAACCUGGAGUUCCUUAUGAUUGUGAGCCACUGUGUAGGUGCUGGAAGUCAAACCCGAGGUCCUCUGCAGGAGCAGUAAGUGAACCUGUCAAGUCCACUCUCCAGUCCCUUACAAAAAAUUUUUUUUAAUUUAAUUUAACCUUUUAGACAGGGUCUCACAGCCAAGGCUGGCCUCAAACUAACUAUUUAGCUGAGGAUUACCUUGAACUUUUAUCAUUAUUAUUUUGUUUUGUCUUUUCGAGGCAGGGUUUCUCUGUGUAGCCCUGGCUAUCCUGCAACUCACUCUGUGGUUGGCCUCAAAUUCACAGAGAUCUGCCUGCCUCUGCCUCCCAAGUGCUGGGACUAAAGGCGUGCACCACUACUGCCUGGCUGACUUUGAACUUCUAAUCCUCUGCCCCACACCCAAGUGCCGUCAUGCUUUGCUCAAUAUUAUACAGACCUGGGAUCCAGCAGAGUGAUUCGUGCAUGCGAGGCAAGCACUCUACCAACCAAGCCACGUUCCCAGACCACAAAGUCUCCUUUAUCUCAUGUCCCAGACUCCUCAGUCUUUCCUAGGGGCUCUCUCCAAAGGCCUCUCCUCCAGUACAGGUGGCUGCAGUAUCACCCAGGGCACCGGCUGGACCACACCCACAUCCGCUUGAUGCUUUGUGUGAUGUUCAUUGAGAGGUCAGUGCUGGUCUCCACCCCAAAGGCCCACAAGGUUACACGGCUUGGAAGCAGCAAACAUGGCAUUCUUUCUCCUGUCAGACUGUGAUUGCCACGGUGCCAGGCAGGGACGAGCUUAGCCCUUGCUCUGGACCACACUGAGGUCAUCUCAGGCACUCUAGAAGGAAUACAUCCUGCCUGCGGGUCUGGCUGUGACAACUCUUUCAAGCUCAUAAAGGCGGUGGAUUGUGAAGCUGGUGUUUGAACCCAGGUCCACUGGUCUCCAAAGGCAGUGUUUUUCUUUCUGCACUGAAGCCCGAUCCAGGCAAGGGCUGAAUGACUCCCGCCCAGUCCUUGCUCUGCCGUUAUUUCCUCGUACCCCCUGACCCCAGACUUUCACCCCCUCCCUGUGCUGCGCCUGCCUUUUGACUCCAGACCGACAAAUUGGAGUCAAAGGGUCACUGGCUCUUUAUUUGUUACAGGUGGUGGCUCUGGGUCCUCAGCGACCAGAGUGCAGAAAUGUGCUCUGCAGAUUACAGGCUGAGGUGCCACAGGGGGGUAAGGACAGGCCCACAGUCGGAUGGAGCCAGCUGCUCCCUCACACACCUUCACCCCCCAAGGUGCUCUUGGGUGAAAGAGUGGGGCAGAAGCAUGGGGGAAUCUGCCUGCGCAGCCGCCUCAGACUGGAAGUUCUUCCAACUCUCAUUUCAUUCUUCCAUUGUCAGAAUUGGCUGUGGUUCCCAUCAGCUCCCAACAGUUUCCCAGAGCCUCUGGCCUCUCUGGAGCCAUCUCCCUAACUGGAUGUGUGAAAACCGCUACUCCCUGUUGUCCCGCUGCCCCAAGGACUGUUACCAAUCUGGAGCUGCUGCUCCCCUUCAUUCUCCUGCUCCAAGUUUACCGUUCUCUGCUAGUGGAGCUAAGGGAAAAGAACCAGCUGGCCUCGUGCUGGGGAAUAAUUAUCCACCCUUAGGCAGGAGGGAGGCAGCUCUUCCAGCCCAGAGCUUCGCCACCCCCACCCCCCAGCUCUCUCCAUCUUGAGCAGCCCCAGAGCUCCCCUGGACCUCAGCAGCAUGGCUCCCUGGAGCAGGAGCUUGUGGGCCAGCUGCACCACCGCCAGCCGCCCUGCAGGCCUUCAGCAGUGCCUGGGGCCUCUCUUGCAGAAGCUCAGCCUCAUGUCUUCCUUUCUCCGGCCUCAGGUCCUCCUGGGUGCAGAGGACCAUGGCUAGUGUACG